UAGGAGAGGCAAUAUGCCACAGAGAGGUG
rnacentral:piRNA from 1 species